rnacentral:rRNA from 1 species
AUGAACGCUAGCUACAGGCUUAACACAUGCAAGUCGAGGGGCAGCAUGGUCUUAGCUUGCUAAGGCCGAUGGCGACCGGCGCACGGGUGAGUAACACGUAUCCAACCUGCCGUCUACUCUUGGACAGCCUUCUGAAAGGAAGAUUAAUACAAGAUGGCAUCAUGAGUCCACAUGUUCACAUGAUUAAAGGUAUUCCGGUAGACGAUGGGGAUGCGUUCCAUUAGAUAGUAGGCGGGGUAACGGCCCACCUAGUCUUCGAUGGAUAGGGGUUCUGAGAGGAAGGUCCCCCACAUUGGAACUGAGACACGGUCCAAACUCCUACGGGAGGCAGCAGUGAGGAAUAUUGGUCAAUGGGCGAGAGCCUGAACCAGCCAAGUAGCGUGAAGGAUGACUGCCCUAUGGGUUGUAAACUUCUUUUAUAAAGGAAUAAAGUCGGGUAUGGAUACCCGUUUGCAUGUACUUUAUGAAUAAGGAUCGGCUAACUCCGUGCCAGCAGCCGCGGUAAUACGGAGGAUCCGAGCGUUAUCCGGAUUUAUUGGGUUUAAAGGGAGCGUAGAUGGAUGUUUAAGUCAGUUGUGAAAGUUUGCGGCUCAACCGUAAAAUUGCAGUUGAUACUGGAUAUCUUGAGUGCAGUUGAGGCAGGCGGAAUUCGUGGUGUAGCGGUGAAAUGCUUAGAUAUCACGAAGAACUCCGAUUGCGAAGGCAGCCUGCUAAGCUGCAACUGACAUUGAGGCUCGAAAGUGUGGGUAUCAAACAGGAUUAGAUACCCUGGUAGUCCACACGGUAAACGAUGAAUACUCGCUGUUUGCGAUAUACUGCAAGCGGCCAAGCGAAAGCGUUAAGUAUUCCACCUGGGGAGUACGCCGGCAACGGUGAAACUCAAAGGAAUUGACGGGGGCCCGCACAAGCGGGGGAACAUGUGGUUUAAUUCGAUGAUACGCGAGGAACCUUACCCGGGCUUAAAUUGCAGAUGAAUUACGGUGAAAGCCGUAAGCCGCAAGGCAUCUGUGAAGGUGCUGCAUGGUUGUCGUCAGCUCGUGCCGUGAGGUGUCGGCUUAAGUGCCAUAACGAGCGCAACCCUUGUUGUCAGUUACUAACAGGUUCUGCUGAGGACUCUGACAAGACUGCCAUCGUAAGAUGUGAGGAAGGUGGGGAUGACGUCAAAUCAGCACGGCCCUUACGUCCGGGGCUACACACGUGUUACAAUGGGGGGUACAGAGGGCCGCUACCACGCGAGUGGAUGCCAAUCCCCAAAACCUCUCUCAGUUCGGACUGGAGUCUGCAACCCGACUCCACGAAGCUGGAUUCGCUAGUAAUCGCGCAUCAGCCACGGCGCGGUGAAUACGUUCCCGGGCCUUGUACACACCGCCCGUCAAGCCAUGGGAGCCGGGGGUACCUGAAGUGCGUAACCGCGAGGAGCGCCCUAGGGUAAAACUGGUGACUGGGGCU